GGGGAACAGGAGGCCUCCUCUCUCUGGUAUCCUGAGCUAGCGAGUUGAGUGCUGCUGUUGCGCGCUGGAGUCCCCGCGCCGCCGCCGAGAUCAUGGUGUUCUACUUUACCAGCAACAGCGUUAAUUCAUCUGCUUACACUAUUUACAUGGGAAAGGAUAAAUAUGAAAAUGAAGAUCUAAUAAAGCAUGGCUGGCCUGAAGAUAUUUGGUUUCAUGUGGACAAACUCUCUUCGGCUCAUGUAUACCUUCGAUUACAUAAGGGGGAGAAGAUAGAAGACAUUCCAAAGGAAGUCCUGAUGGACUGUGCCCAUCUUGUGAAGGCCAAUAGCAUUCAAGGCUGCAAGAUGAACAACGUGAAUGUGGUAUAUACACCAUGGUCUAACCUGAAGAAAACCGCUGACAUGGACGUGGGACAGAUAGGCUUUCACAGGCAAAAGGAUGUGAAAAUUGUGACUGUGGAGAAGAAAGUGAAUGAAAUCCUGAACAGAUUAGAAAAGACCAAAAUGGAGCGGUUCCCAGACCUCGCGGCAGAGAAGGAAUGCAGAGACCGAGAAGAGAGGAAUGAGAAAAAAGCCCAAAUUCAGGAAAUGAAAAGGAGAGAGAAGGAAGAGAUGAAGAAGAAGCGGGAAAUGGACGAACUUAGGAGCUAUUCAUCACUAAUGAAAGUUGAGAAUAUGUCUUCAAAUCAGGAUGGCAAUGAUUCAGAUGAAUUCAUGUGAAUGGAGGAAAGGACCUUUGAAAGAUGUGAAUUUCGGGACAGUUGCAGACGGCCUCCUGGAAAUGAAUUCUCCUGGACGGACACCACCAGAACGCUGCAGAAUCAAGACCUGAAGGGAAGGGCCAGCAGGUGGCAGGAGAGAACAGCACGGGUCUCAGCUUCUGUCCAGUUGUGGUUCCAGCUGUCAACUCAUUCAGCCUCUAGCUUUAAGGGAAAGCCCGUAAGGACGGGCAUUCAUGCACAGAUUUCAUAGAAUAAUGGAUUUUCAUAGAAACGUGCCAUGGAGUUUGGAAGGGACCUUGAAGGUCACCAAAGGCGAUGGAUCUCUUUGUGCCCUUUACGACAUCCUCUUACAGAACUCCUUCAGUGUCAGCAUGAAAACAUUCAGAGACAGGAAGCUCAGUACUUUCUAAAGCCGUUUGUCCAGGAGCACCUGGAUGGCUCCGUCGGUUAAGUUCC